ensembl:snRNA U11 spliceosomal RNA
AAAAAGGGCCUCUGUCGUAGUGGCACAGGUAGAGCAGCUUGAUUGCUCUGUGUGCGGAAUUGGCAUCAAGAGAUUUAGGAAGCAUAAUUUUUUGGUACUUGGGCAGCUGGUGAUCAUUGGUCCUGGCGCCCCC